rnacentral:rRNA from 1 species
GACGAACGCUGGCGGCGUGCCUCAAACAUGCAAGUCGAGCGUGGGUUGGCUGCUCCGCAGGGAGCGGUUCAGCUCUAGCGGCAAACGGGUGAGUAACACGUGGGUAAUCUGCCUCACAGACGGGGACAACCUCGGGAAACCGGGGCUAAUACCCGGUACGCUCCCCGGGCGGCAUCGCCUGGGGAGGAAAGGUCGCAAGACGCUGUGAGAUGAGCCCGCGGCCUAUCAGCUAGUUGGUGGGGUAACGGCCUACCAAGGCUACGACGGGUAGCUGGCCUGAGAGGGUGGUCAGCCACACUGGGACUGAGACACGGCCCAGACUCCUACGGGAGGCAGCAGUUGGGAAUCUUGGGCAAUGGGCGCAAGCCUGACCCAGCGACGCCGCGUGGGGGAUGAAGGCCUUCGGGUCGUAAACCCCUGUCAGGAGGGACGAAGCCCGCAAGGGUGACGGUACCUCCAGAGGAAG